rnacentral:rRNA from 1 species
GUGGGGAAUCUUAGACAAUGGGGGAAACCCUGAUCUAGCCAUGCCGCGUGAGCGAUGAAGGCCUUAGGGUUGUAAAGCUCUUUCAGAGGGGAAGAUAAUGACGGUACCCUCAGAAGAAGCCCCGGCUAACUCCGUGCCAGCAGCCGCGGUAAUACGGAGGGGGCUAGCGUUGUUCGGAAUUACUGGGCGUAAAGCGCACGUAGGCGGACCAGAAAGUCAGGGGUGAAAUCCCGGGGCUCAACCCCGGAACUGCCUUUGAAACUCCUGGUCUUGAGGUCGAGAGAGGUGAGUGGAAUUCCGAGUGUAGAGGUGAAAUUCGUAGAUAUUCGGAGGAACACCAGUGGCGAAGGCGGCUUACUGGUCCAUUACUGACGCUGAGGUGCGAAAGCGUGGGGAGCAAACAGGAUUAGAAACCCCGGUAGUCC